AACACCUUGACCUUUACACCACAACUCGACAGACGAAGCCCAAGCUAAGUAGUUGGAACCUCCCAUUAAAGGUUCUGAGGUAAUCAUCACACCGGAACUGCCGGAACCCGGGUUUUUAGACCCGAAAGAAUCGACUCCCAAAGACAUCGUUGAAUAAUAGGAAGAGUCAACUUAAACUUGCUGGAGAAGAUAACAGAAACACUGGUUUUGCCGGAAAGUACUGUAGUUGCCGGAAAAAAGUCAGUGUAGUUGCCGGAAAAAUUCAAAGGGGUCAGAAUACGUCGCCGGAAAAAGGUUUUCGGUGACUUAUUUUUUCUUCCCGGAGUCGCUGGAAUUUAUACACAGCGAUAAAUCUCUCACAAUUGCUCUGAUACCAUGUGAGAAAGCACGGGAGAAAACUAUGAUAUAUUGAUAUUAAACAUGAUACAAUGAGCCCUUGAGAAAGCACGGGAGAAAAAUAUAAUUGAUAUUAAACAUGAUACAAUGAGCGCUAUAUAUAUAUAACCUAUCCUACUCCUAAUACACAUUGGAUUAGGGUUAUUUUACUACUAUUUACAUAUUCUAAUAGCCUUAAUGUUCUAUUUGCUAGUCAGUACUCUUUGAAUCUUAGUUCUAAUAUUAGGAACAUUAUGAUGGACUGCCUGCUAGUUACCUAAGGAUGGCUUCUUCGGAGCAACACAAAGAGGUGAGAGUUUGAGUGGAACUGUCCAACUUUCCAACCACCGGCAACAUAUCUGAGAAUAGCUGAUUGCAAGUGAUUAUGACCCCACAAACUAGACCUCCGUUCCCCUAUGUGAAGCCAAUGCGCCAGCACGUAAGCCCACCUUCGACGACUUUCUGGC
rnacentral:lncRNA from 1 species